rnacentral:tRNA from 1 species
UUAACUGAAACCAAAAAGAGGUAUAUUAUUGUUAAUAAUACAAAUGAAUUAAUAAUUCCAGUUAAA